rnacentral:rRNA from 1 species
AUACGUAGGGGGCGAGCGUUGUCCGGAUUUACUGGGUGUAUAGGGCGUGUAGGCGGGAUUGAAAGUCAGAUGUGAAAUACGGGGGCUUAACCCCCGGGCGGCAUUUGAAACUUCAGUUCUUGAGUGCAGGAGAGGUAAGCGGAAUUCCCGGUGUAGCGGUGAAAUGCGUAGAGAUCGGGAGGAACACCAGUGGCGAAGGCGGCUUACUGGACUGCAACUGACGCUGAGGCGCGAAAGCGUGGGGAGC